GUUGAGUGUGGUAAUAACUGCAUCUCCGCAGCCUGUUGCAGCAUCCUGGAAUGGGNNNNNNNNNNACACUAAAUGAGUUUGUAGGAUUUUAGGGUCUCUCUCUACUACCAGCCUGGAGCCAGGAAAUUACUUAUGAGUUUUGAUUCUGAGUCCUUCUUGUCCCUGCGUUCCACAGGCUGAGUACCUGCUGCUAAAACACCCGUCAGCAAGCAGGCUACCACAGAUCAGUGGACCAACUUUUAUUAUCGUAGAGACUGGCACAAGCUUCUAGUGCAAACAAUCACAUUGUCACUGUGAAAUGCAUCAUUUGUCAUUAAGGAGCAUUGGUAAUGUAAUUGUUAGGGAGCUACCUUUAAAAAAAAAAAAGCAAACCAGGUGGAAGUGAAUUACUUAAAACCAGAACACCUGCUCAUGACUUAAGUCUUAAUUGUGAUCAAUUGUUUCCACCUGUAGGUGUUGAUGGCUUCACUCAGAAACUUUUUUUUUCCCCCCACUCUGUCUGCUCUUCACAGAGGAAGUUUAAUCAUUUUUCUGGAUUUCCUUUUGCCUUCUCUUUGUAAAAAAUGCCUUGUGCUCUUCGGUGGUUCCAAGAAACUUCUUCAAAGGUGAGUGGCGUCUGAGGAAGUUGGUGUUGGUGGUGGAGGAGCUGGUUCCAGGGCGCGUCGUACCCUGCGGCUGGAGGAGAGGAUGUGUUGGGCAAGCAUGAAGCUUCAGGAGAAAAGCUUUGGCGUCUUUGACAGAAAACCCACAGGACUCCAGAGCCUGGCAUAUGACAGAACGCCUCCAGCGGCUUCGCGCAUUUGCAUUCACGGCGAUACAAAAACUGUUUCAGAUGGAGUUUGGGCAGAGACAGAGAGGGCAAGCACUCCCGUUCCUGACCCUGCGUGA
rnacentral:lncRNA from 1 species